GUGCUCGCUUAGGCAGCACAUAGACUAAAAUUGGAACUAUAUGGAGUAGAUUAGCAUGGCCUCUGCACAAGGAUGACACGCAAAUUCAUGAAGUGUUCCAUAUUAAA
rnacentral:snRNA from 1 species